GACGAACGCUGGCGGCGUGCUUAACACAUGCAAGUCGAACGGAAAGGCCCUGCUUUUGUGGGGUGCUCGAGUGGCGAACGGGUGAGUAACCCGUGAGUAACCUGCCCUUGACUUUGGGAUAACUUCAGGAAACUGGGGCUAAUACCGGAUAGGAGCUCCUGCUGCAUGGUGGGGGUUGGAAAGUUUCGGCGGUUGGGGAUGGACUCGCGGCUUAUCAGCUUGUUGGUGGGGUAGUGGCUUACCAAGGCUUUGACGGGUAGCCGGCCUGUGAGGGUGACCGGCGACAUUGGGACUGAGAUACGGCCCAGACGCCUACGGGAGGCAGCAGGGGGGAAUAUUGCACAAUGGGCGGAAGCCUGAUGCAGCAACGCCGCGUGCGGGAUGACGGCCUUCGGGUUGUAAACCGCUUUCGCCUGUGACGAAGCGUGAGUGACGGUAAUGGGUAAAGAAGCACCGGCUAACUACGUG
rnacentral:rRNA from 1 species